GGAUACUCUGUUGCGCUAAGCUAUUCUAGCGAUUGACUAUGGGUUGUUGCUAUUCCAAAUUAGCACGAGCUGAGAACGGCUCGUCAGCUGAGAAUUCUGCAGCUGGUACGUCGACCGAUUCACAUGAAAUAGUUCUCAGAAACGGAGAAAGACUAAGGCGUC